UAAAGACAGGUCUAGUCCUAAAUUUGGUCUUCUAACGUUACAUCGAUUCCAGGUCUCUCUCUGACUCUCUCUCUGCCUUCUCUGCUUUGGUGAAGUUUGGUGAUAGCAGUAAUCCAUUCUGCUCAUCUGCUGUGGACAUGAUAGAAGCCAAGGCUGAAAAUACAGAUGGGGAACCAGUGGGAAGUGAAGGUUCGUCAGUUAGUAUAAAGGUCUUAUUCUUUGCCAGAGCUCGAGAUGUAACUGGCUUGGCUGAUAUGCAAUUAGAGGUGUCAUCUGGUAGUACCACCAGCGAUUGUUUGAAUAAGCUUAUUGCUAGGUUUCCUAGCUUGGAAGAGAUCCGUGGUUGUAUAGUUCUUGCUCUAAACGAGGAAUACACAACCGAGGCAGCAAUCGUGAAAGAAAAGGAUGAGUUGGCUAUCAUACCUCCCAUCAGUGGUGGCUAAAUAUUUCGUACAAAUUUCUCGAAAGUCUUAAUAUCCAAACAUGUUCUUUGAAUGGUUUCUUGAUCAUAUAGUUGUCUCACACAAAUACGUGAAUAUUGUAUGAUUUUCUGUGUCUUUUGUAACUAUAUUGAUGAAGUCUUCAGGAAUAAAUUAGAAAUCCAUCCUUUUUCUUUUUCUACUGUUCAAUGGAAUGAGCUGUUAUAUCUUCACGUACACUUUAGAGAAGAAGGCAGACGCUGAACCAUAAAUUUCAAGUUUGUGUUCAAAUU